CGGUGGAGUAUGUGGUUUAAUUCGAUGCAACGCGAAGACUACCUGGUCUGACAUCCGGAGACCCUUAGGAAACUAGGGGGUGCUUCCAUCUGGAAGAAUCUGGAGACAGGUGCUGCAUGGCUGUCGUCAGCUCGUGUCGUGAGAUGUUGGGUUAAGUCCCGCAGCGAGCGCAACCCUUGCCUUAGUUGCCAGCAGUUCGGCUGGGCACUCUAAAGGGACUGCCGGUGUUAAACCGGAGGAAGGUGGGGAUGACGUCAAGUCCUCAUGGCCUUUAUGACCAGGGCUACACACGUACUACAAUGGCCGAUACAAAGGGCAGCGACACUGCGAGGUGAAGCCAAUCCCGUAAAAUCGGUCUCAGUCCGGAUUGGAGUCUGCAACUCGACUCCAUGAAGUUGGAAUCGCUAGUAAUCGUGGAUCAGCAUGCCACGGUGAAUACGUUCCCGGGCCUU
rnacentral:rRNA from 1 species